rnacentral:rRNA from 1 species
UACGGAGGGUGCGAGCGUUGUCCGGAAUCACUGGGCGUAAAGGGCGCGUAGGUGGCCCGUUAAGUGGCUGGUGAAAUCCCGCGGCUCAACUGCGGGGCUGCCGGUCAUACUGGCGAGCUAGAGCACGGUAGGGGCAGAUGGAAUUCCCGGUGUAGCGGUGGAAUGCGUAGAGAUCGGGAAGAAUACCAGUGGCGAAGGCGUUCUGCUGGGCCGUUGCUGACACUGAGGCGCGACAGCAUGGGGAGCGAACGGG